rnacentral:rRNA from 1 species
AAUGAACGCUGGCGGCGCGCCUAAUACAUGCAAGUCGAGCGAGAAGACGUAGCAAUACGUUUGUAAAGCGGCGAACGGGUGAGGAAUACAUGGGUAACCUACCCUCGAGUGGGGAAUAACUAGCCGAAAGGUUAGCUAAUACCGCGUACGCUCCUUGGACUUCGGUUCAGGGAGGAAAGCGAUACCGUGGGUAUCGCGCUCUUGGAUGGGCUCAUGUCCUAUCAGCUUGUUGGGAGGUAC